rnacentral:lncRNA from 1 species
UCUGCGCGCCCGCCCGCACCGAAUCCGCGGCCCGCGGCCCCCGGGGAAACUUUCCCUGCGCGUCGCUACAUUCCUGCAGACUCCCGGCCGCACGUGACCCGGGGGCGACCGCGCUGCGUGCGCACCCACCGGCCGGCCCCGAGCCGCUCGGCUGCGGGCGCAGAUCCUGCCGGACCCGCGCGCAACGCCAAGGCCGCGAGGAAUCGGGACAACCGGCUUGAGGUCCAAAAGAUGGUAUUAGAUUCCAUGGAAUUGGAGUACAACUGGUUGUGAACAGCCACGUGGGUACAGGGAUUCGAACCUGAGCCUUCUUAGGAACCAGUACUUUUAGUGACCGGCCCUCUCCUCAGCCCCUUGUUGAAGUCAUGAGCUACAAAACAAGAACUGGUUUUAAUGAGUGUGAUGGCAUGCCUAAAUACACCAAGAAGGAAGAGGAGGAAGAGGAGGAAGAGGAGGAAGAGGAGGAGGAGAAGAAGGAGAAGGAGAAGGAGAAGGAGAAGGAGAAGAAGAAGAAGAAGAAGAAGAAGAAGAAGAAGAAGAAGAAGAAGAAGGCUGAUACCCCAGAUUGUGGGGCAAAUGAAAGGAUACCCACAAUUAGGUGGAUUGGUGCCCCCACAUCAAUGAUGUUUAACCAUAUAUCCUGGUAUCUGUAGGUAGCUACUUCUCACACCCUUCUUUAUUUAUUACACACUUAUUCUUUACUUUUUUUCCCCUCUAAAAGUGGCUUCAUGAGCAUCUGCACUGAGACCCAAGGCUGCCCUUUGUCAGUCUCCCUUGAACCUGCAGAACCUCCUGCAGCCAGGGUUUGCCAUGCCACAGCUGGUGCUGGGAAAGCUAGCCUAGAGGUGCUAGGUUUAUGCUCCUCACCUUUGCUCGUUCCCCUGCCAGCUGAGCAUUUUACUCCCAAUCCCCCUAGAGCUCCAGCAGCACACCUUCCCACCCACAUCCCUCUGGCUCACCAUGUUAAGGCUAGCACAAUUCAUCCAUUUGUUCAAGCAGAGAACUUAAUCACCUCCAUCAACAACCUUCAACACUUCCUAAAGUUUUUUUUUUUUUUUUGG